GCUCCCCGCCGCCGCCGCCGAGGGCCGGAUCCGGGCUCUGCCACGCACGAGUAUCCAAACUAGAACGAAUAGGAUUCACCAUCAGUGCUGGUGGUGUCGCAGGCCCUGUGACAGAUACUUGCUAGGGGAAGGCCUCAACAGCUGCAUCCCAUUCUCCCCCAUUUUCUGAGACCCUUCAGUCCAUGCAACUGGACUUUAUCAAGAUUUUCAAAUCUGAACCAUAUUGGGUGGGUGGAACUGGUAAUGUGGCUUGACUUCUGUUCCAUUACCAAGUAAGUAGAUACCAAACUGGGAGAAGGGGAUAGUUCAGAAGGAAGAGCCACCAUACAGGGAUACAUUAACAAGCGGGAAGAUCUGCAAAUCAUGCAAAUGUAUGAUGUCUAACAAGAAGAAAUGUAAAGUCCUAUAAUCCCAAGAAGAAGUACCACCUGGGAGAUCAAUGCCUGGGAUUUAGAUCUGCUGGAAAAGACCUGGAGGGGUGGUGGAGAGCAAGCUGAACACAAGUCAGCUGUGUUCCCUUGCAGCAGUGAAGGGAAACUGUGCAUUUGGAUUGUGUAUCAGUAAGAAUAUAUCUAGCAGAUGAAAAGGUGUGAUUAUUUAGGCCACACAUACAA